AAUCUUCAUAGGCUGGCUAGCCCAGAGGCUAGGCCGGGUGAAUAUGUCUUCAAAAGGCUCACUCUCAAGCACGACUAGGAGC
rnacentral:pre_miRNA from 2 species